GACGAACGCUGGCGGCGUGCUUAACACAUGCAAGUCGAACGGAAAGGCCCUGCUUUUGUGGGGUGCUCGAGUGGCGAACGGGUGAGUAACACGUGAGUAACCUGCCCUUGACUUUGGGAUAACUUCAGGAAACUGGGGCUAAUACCGGAUAGGAGCUCCUGCUGCAUGGUGGGGGUUGGAAAGUUUCGGCGGGUGGGGAUGGACUCGCGGCUUAUCAGCUUGUUGGUGGGGUAGUGGCUUACCAAGGCUUUGACGGGUAGCCGGCCUGAGAGGGUGACCGGCCACAUUGGGACUGAGAUACGGCCCAGACUCCUACGGGAGGCAGGAGUGGGGAAUAUUGCACAAUGGGCGGAAGCCUGAUGCAGCAACGCCGCGUGCGGGAUGACGGCCUUCGGGUUGUAAACCGCUUUCGCCUGUGACGAAGCGUGAGUGACGGUAAUGGGGAAAGAAGCACCGGCUAACUACGU
rnacentral:rRNA from 1 species